UACGAAGGGUGCAAGCGUUACUCGGAAUUACUGGGCGUAAAGCGUGCGUAGGUGGUUCGUUAAGUCUGAUGUGAAAGCCCUGGGCUCAACCUGGCAAUUGCAUUGGAUACUGGCGAGCUAGAGUGCGGUAGAGGAUGGCGGAAUUCCCGGUGUAGCAGUGAAAUGCGUAGGGAUCGGAAGGAACAUCUGUGGCGAAGGCGACUAUCUGGGCCAACACUGACACUGAGGCACGAAAGCGUGGGGAGCAAACAGG
rnacentral:rRNA from 1 species